UCCCCGUUACCGAGGCAGUCUAAAUAGAAAAAUUCAACUAUUUACAAGGGUUGCGCUCGUUAAUGGACUUAACCAAACAUCUCACGACACGAGCUGACGACGGCCAUGCAUCACCUGUCACUGCGCUCACAAGGCACAGUCUCCUUUCGGAGACCUUCGCAGGAUGUCAAGCCCUGGUAAGGUUCUUCGCUUAUCAUCGAAUUAAACAACACGCUCCACCGCUUGUGCGGGUCCCCGUCAAUUCCUUUAUGUUUUAAGCUUGCGCUCGUACUCCACAGGCGGGAUGCUUAACGCGUUAGCUUCGCUACUAACCGGGUCGAUACGGUUAACAGCUAGCAUCCAUCGUUUACGGCGUGGACUAC
rnacentral:misc_RNA from 1 species